GCCAAGUGGGCCCUGAAUUCCAGGUCUCAGCCAGGAGCUGCAGAAUUCUGCACGGAGAUGGUGAGCGUGGCGUGUACAAGCUCACGUUGGAAAACAGGCUUUGCUACAUUUUCUCUGGCCGGAAGCACACAGACUGUGGGAAAAGUCGAGAACGUUGCCUGAGCCCAGUUUGAAGGCAGGGGUCAGCGGGGAGAGGUUGCUUGAUGACAGUCACUUGGGUUCGUCUGUAAAUGCUGGCCAGAGUCUGAGGGCCCCCACCCCCACCCCGAGGUUGUUGACAAUGGAAAAACCCCCGAAGUGAAGCAGACAGGGAUUUUAGAACAUCUUAAAGGAACACAUGAGCGCUGAA
rnacentral:lncRNA from 1 species